rnacentral:rRNA from 1 species
GACGAACGCUGGCGGCGUGCUUAACACAUGCAAGUCGAACGGAAAGGCCCUGCUUUUGUGGGGUGCUCGAGUGGCGAACGGGUGAGUAAUACGUGAGUAACCUGCCCUUGACUUUGGGAUAGCUUCAGGAAACUGGGGCUAAUACCGGAUAGGAGCUCCUGCUGCAUGGUGGGGGUUGGAAAGUUUCGGCGGUUGGGGAUGGACUCGCGUCUUAUCAGCUUGUUGGUGGGGUAGUGGCUUACCAAGGCUUUGACGGGUAGCCGGCCUGAGAGGGUGACCGGCCACAUUGGGACUGAGAUAAGGCACAGACUCCUACGGGAGGCAGCAGUGGGGAAUAUUGCACAAUGGGCGGAAGCCUGAUGCAGCAACGCCGCGUGCGGGAUGACGGCCUUCGGGUUGUAAACCGCUUUCGCCUGUGACGAAGCGUGAGUGACGGUAAUGGGUAAAGAAGCACCGGCUAACUACGUG